UUCGGAAAAAAUAAGUGCUCAAGUGAAGUUCUGUCGUGAAACUGAAAUUAAUUGAAGAAAAGUUGUUUCUAAUAUAAAGUGCUAAAUUUUCACAUUAGUUGUUACACACACAUACCAUGUAUAUAUAUUGUUCAACGGCAAUGCAAAUGUGUGCAGAAACAGUUGGAAAGGCAAACCUGAGGAGCUAUAACAUGGCACGAAGGCUGAAAUAAUUGCUAGUACGGGUUUCUCAAGCAUUUCUGCUCUGAACAAAGAAAAUGAAAUCAGCUCCUCGUCGUCAUCUCAGCGUGGGCACGUCAGGCAUUUUCACAUAACGGCGAAAUGGGGCCACACAAAACCAGACUUGGCGGUGCGAAAACCCAACCAAGUUUUUCAUCUUUGGCUAGAAAGUUGCACUGUAGGCAGGCUGAGGCAGAUGCCAGGCGUUUGAAUUGCUAGCCGGAGUGUGCGGAGUGUGUGUGUUGUCCUGGACUUGAGGAGUUUGGAUAGGAAGCCAGGUAUAAAACGCAGCGAAGACAGCUUGUUCUCUUGUUAUACUUGGGCGUUGAAAGUUGAUACGCGAUCGAUAGAUGUUAUAACUCGAAUGCAAUGCGUGCGAAAGGGCAUUACAACAGCUGAAAUAUGCCGUUGGUGUGGCCCCGUUAGCCGUGUGGCGAGAGUAUAUCUGAACUCAGCGACCUGUGUGUGUCGCUACCUACACACAGGGGUACUAAACAUCGUUUUUAUCAGAUUGAUUGCGUGGAUUGAAUUUAUAGGAACCUGUAUCGACUUCUCUGCUCUACUAAGACUUGUUCAAAACAAAGGCGCACAAUUACCUAUACGUUUAUAUACGGCCUUCUAUUAUUUACCUAACAUCAUCGAACCGUUAUCAAUACCGAUCCAAACAGAUAUAAACACUACUGACAUCGAUCGAUAAAGAUAUAUAUCUCGUAUCUGGAGUAGCAACUGAACGAGCCAAUCGUUAGUUCGUUUUAUGCAGCACAAUUUACAAACUAUAUUCUUGUUAUUUACUUAUUUUUUUGUUGUAAACAUAAACAUUUGCUAGUACACGACAUGUGCGACUUAAGUUCUUAAAUACCUGAAACUGUUAAACAAAAAGAAAAAAAACAAAGAAAAUAUUCUGUUUUUGUACACAACCCAAGAUUUAAGAAAAUUUGUCCAUUUAUUGUUGUAAAUAUACUUGUCCAUACCAGUUAUAGAUAAUGAAUGAAGAAUAUAAGAAAAAAAGAAUGAGCUCAUCAAUACAGAAAAGAAGCUACAAACAAAAAAGAAUAAAAGAAAUCUAAGAAGACCAAUAAAUUUCGAAACAAUUGUUCGCCAUAUUUUUAUUUUAAGCUAAAAUUCUACACAAAUUUCAGUCUUAUCAUCGUACAAAUGGAGGAAGGGCCACUCUAAAUAUCCCAUACAGGUUUAUUUACACGAAAAUUAUGCGUAUAAAAGUCUAUGAAAUUUCUAAGGUUUGAAGUUAAGGUAAACAUCGACAACAUAUAUAUAUAUAUAUAUAUAUAAAAGAGACAUUCCCUAUAAAUAUGUUAAAAUUUUUCUCUAUACGCAUUGCUUGCGAUCAUAUAAGGGAAAUAUAUGCGAAUUUGAAAAUUAUAAAUUAAGCAGGGCUUUGGUAAAUGCUAAAAUAUGCGGUAAACUGCAAAAACGGUUAAAUAUUCAAAUUUGAGACACUUCAUCAAUGGCCGUAUUAAUACAAUUUUACAGACCCAACAUUACACAAUAUUCUACAAUUUAUUCCACUUUUCUGAUUUACUUAAGAAUUUAAGUUAAGUGUCUUCAAUUUGUCUUUAAUUUUUUUUUUUUAGUUGUCUUUACUAUCAAACUAUCUUAACUAAAUAUCAAACACAGCCUGAACACAUAAAAUUUACUUCAAAUACCAAGCGGAAACUAAACAACAAGGAUUAAACACUUCCAAUCCCCAAAAGCAAUUUUUCUUCCACAACUUAUCAACAUCGGAAGUUAACUUCAAUGACAAAAGUAUCCUUUAAUGGUCAGAAUUGUCCAGCAUAAAAUGGAACAUCCCAUCCGAUUAUCUGUUUACAUUUCAACCUGGAAAUUUCCAUCAAAGAAUUAGUACAUUUUCAAACUCGUCUCAAAUUGCACCAUCUGAAACAAUGGAAACUUCGUCAGCCCAGGCAUAAAUCUACCUCAAUGCACCACAUUCAAUUCAAGCAAAUACUUCUCAAAUAUUAAUGUGCCAACCAAGUAUACAUCCACAAAAUUCGUCUGCUUCUCAACUUCUCCAUCUACAAGCAUCUCAAUAUCGUCUACUUCCCCAACUGCUCCAUCUACAAGCAACUCAAUCUUUUACUUCCUCAACUGCUCCUCCAUCUACAAGCAACUCAACACAGCUGACACCUUUAAAAUUUAUCAGACACUAUUUUAAGUUCGAUUUUCAACAAUUUCAAAAUAUUUUUUCAACGUUCUUUGUCGUUCGACAAAUUUUUACUAUUUAUAUAUAUCUGAGCCGUGAUUACAACCAAAUAUUAAAUUAAAUUUGUCAAACACAUUACGAAACGUUCUACUGACACCACGUUGUCUUAAACAUCCUUAUAAAACUGCGUCCAAUACAAAUUAUAAAUUAUUAAGCAUACGAAAAAGUGAAAACAGAAAUUUCCCUGCGAUUACAAAAAGAGCGUAAAAACACACGAAAACUGCGAAGAAUUUAAGAAAGUGGAGUGUAUGGUUAAGAGUGUGAAAACAUAGAAAUUUCCCUAAUAGGUAGGUCAUACACAAACCCCGAUUACAACCCAAAUUUAAAACAUACAAGAGCGUAAAAACACACGAAAACUGCGAUGAAUUUAAGAAAGUGGAAUGUUUAGUUAAGAGUGUGAAAACAUAGAAAUUUCCCUAAUAGGUAGGACAUACACAAACUGCGAUGAAUUUGAGAGAAUGGAGUAUUCGGUUAAGAGUGUGAGGACAUAGAAAUUUCCUUUUUAGGUAGGACAUAAACAAACCCCGAUUACAACCCAAAUUUAAAACAUACAAGAGCGUAAAAACACACGAAAACUGCGAUGAAUUUAUGAAAGUGGAGUGUUUGGUUAAGAGUGUGAAGACAUAGAAAUUUCCCUAAUAGGUAGGACAUACACAAACUGCGAAGAAUUUGAAGAAAGUGGAGUGUUUGGUUAAGAGUGUGAAAACAUAGAAAUUUCCCUAAUAGGUAGGUCAUACACAAACCCCGAUUACAACCCAAAUUUAAAACAUACAAGAGCGUUAAAACGUACACGAAAACUGCGAUGAAUUUGAGAGAAUGGAGUGUUUGGUUAAGAGUGUGAAGACAGAAAUUUCCCUAAUAGGUAGGUCAUACACAAACCCCGAUUACAACCCAAAUUUAAAACAUACAAGAGCGUAAAAACACACGAAAACUGCGAUGAAUUUAAGAAAGUGGAGUGUUUGGUUAAGAGUGUGAAAACAUAGAAAUUUCUCCAUUAGGUAGGACAUAAACAAACCCCGAUUACAACCCAAAUUUAAAACAUACAAGAGCGUAAAAAGACA
rnacentral:sRNA from 1 species